GUAGGUGAACCUGCGGAAGGAUCAUUAACACAAUCUCUUUUUUUCUUCUCUUUCGAGAGGAAAAGAAUUUACCCCACUUUGGAUGAAUUUUAUUGCUUGAGGGUUGCUUUGGGUGGUAUGCUCUCUUCUUUCGAAAAGAGGAUAUUCACACAGUGCAAUUCCUUUUGCAAACUUUAUUACCCCAUCAUUUUAAACCCAAACCCUUUUAAUACUGUCAUACAUUGGACUGAUAUGAAAAUCUGUUUUCAUG
rnacentral:misc_RNA from 1 species